rnacentral:rRNA from 1 species
AUAAUCAUUAGUCUUUUAAUUGAAGGCUUGUAUGAAUGGUUGGACAAAAAGUAAGCUGUCUCAGUUAUAAUAAUUGAAUUUAACUUUUAAGUGAAAAGGCUUAAAUGGAUUAAGGGGACGAUAAGACCCUAUAAAGCUUGACAAUAAGUUAAUUAUUAACUGUUUUUAAAUGUUUAAUGACAAAUAUAAUUGGUAUUUGAUUGAUCCUUUAUUAAAGAUUAAAAGAUUAAGUUACUUUAGGGAUAACAGCGUAAUCUUCUUUGAGAGUUCAUAUCGACAAGAAGGUUUGCGACCUCGAU